rnacentral:rRNA from 1 species
GAUGAACGCUGGCGGCGUGCCUAAUACAUGCAAGUCGAGCGAACGGACGAGAAGCUUGCUUCUCUGAUGUUAGCGGCGGACGGGUGAGUAACACGUGGAUAACCUACCUAUAAGACUGGGAUAACUUCGGGAAACCGUAGCUAAUACCGGAUAAUAUUUUGAACCGCAUGGUUCAAAAGUGAAAGACGGUCUUGCUGUCACUUACAGAUGGAUCCGCGCUGCAUUAGCUAGUUGGUAAGGUAACGGCUUACCAAGGCAACGAUGCAUAGCCGACCUGAGAGGGUGAUCGGCCACACUGGAACUGAGACACGGUCCAGACUCCUACGGGAGGCAGCAGUAGGGAAUCUUCCGCAAUGGGCGAAAGCCUGACGGAGCAACGCCGCGUGAGUGAUGAAGGUCUUCGGAUCGUAAAACUCUGUUAUUAGGGAAGAACAUAUGUGUAAGUAACUGUGCACAUCUUGACGGUACCUAAUCAGAAAGCCACGGCUAACUACGUG